rnacentral:rRNA from 1 species
AACGAACGCUGGCGGCAGGCCUAACACAUGCAAGUCGAGCGAGGACUUCGGUUCUAGCGGCGGACGGGUGAGUAACGCGUGGGAAUGUGCCCUUCUCUACGGAAUAGCCCUGGGAAACUGGGAGUAAUACCGUAUACGCCCUAUUGGGGAAAGAUUUAUCGGAGAAGGAUCAGCCCGCGUUGGAUUAGGUAGUUGGUGGGGUAAUGGCCUACCAAGCCGACGAUCCAUAGCUGGUUUGAGAGGAUGAUCAACAACACUGGGACUGAGACACGGCCCAGAAUCCUACGGGAGGGAGCAGUGGGGAAUCUUAGACAAGGGGGGCAACACUGAUCAAGCCAUGCCGGGUGAGUGAUGAAGGCCUUAGGGUUGUAAAGCUCUUUCAGCUGGGAAGAUAAUGACGGUACCAGCAGAAGAAGCCCCGGCUAACUCCGUG